AAGAAAGACAAGAGAUUCAUUCAUGGGAGGGUGAUUCAAGGCACCGACAUCUCUGUAUCUCUGCGCUGCGACAGAUGAUCAUUACUCACACACACUGCUCACACGCAACCUGGAAUGAAACUGACAGGUAUUGAACGGCAGCAACAGUUAACUCCAUUUACCGUCAUGCCUUGCGUAACUACGUUUGCCGAAAGCAGCAUGUGCUGAGCCGCUCCGCUCAAACUAUGGCUCAGUGAAGCUGCAGCUCUCCACGGGAGCGUGUUGUGUCAGCAGACCCUCUGGCUGUAGCUGCCGCAGAGACCGUCAUUGCGCUGGACCAUAAGGAGGAAUCAGCGUCUUCGGAAAUAAUCAUUUUGAUUGCUUUGCUGGAUUUACUUAGGCUUAAAUCGUUUAAUGCUGGGGUUCUUUGAACGCAUUAACUGGAUUAAUCGCGGCACUGACCAACGCGGAGAAGUUAUUAUUUUUGCUUAAAUCUGAUCACGAUGACAGCAGCUGAUGGAAUCAAAACUCCAGCUAUGGAUCUUUUCGUGUGUUAUAAGGAAAUACUGACUUCUCUCUGGGACGACUUUCUACUCCUGCCACAGAUCCAGCUGCUGGACAAGUCUCUUGGGAUACACGCGUGGUCAAGUGUUGACAUUUUCGUAGAUGGUUAAUGUUAUGCGCUGCCACGCUUUCGAAAUUAAAAUCUAUUUUGGUGGAUUUUGGCACACUGAAGGAUACCCUGGAAUAUAUUCUGGAAGCUCCGCUCAGCUGAUGUCCAUUGAUUUGGAUAAUGUCAAUACGCAUCUCCUGAUUCCGCAGUGAAGAAAGCCAAAUUCCUUAGAUGACAUGUCGACCUUUUAUUGCAUCCCAGGGAUCUUCUGAUGAUCUCAGGUGAGCACCAAGAAGAGGCUGAGUAAUGGAAACAUGAUCGCAACAGAUUCAGCAGGAUCAUACUAAAUCCCGGUUUGGACUGUGGACCAGCAUCCUCUGAAGCAGAUGUUUGCUCCUGGCACGGCCGCCGACAACAUGAGCUCCUACACUGGCAGUCUCGCUCUCGGGAUUCAGUGAGCAGCAUGAACUUGGAGAAGCUAUGACAUAAACUCAGCAGGACAGUGAAUCGUGUUUUGCUGCUCAGACAUCAUGGAACAGAUCGUCAGCCCCAUCUGGAGAAGUGCUCUAUAGGAGAGUUGUAUAUUUAUUACUACUUUGAUGGAUCAGCAUGUUGUUUGACUUUAUUUUUUAAAUUGGUUUAAUUGAUCCAUCGUUCCUUGAUUUUUCAGAUUUUAUUCACAGUGCUGCUUAUGCAGUAGCUUCAACAUUUACCUUGUUAUUCUGGAAGCACCAGAACUGCACAUGGAAAAUGAUCAGUUGUCAUUGUCGUUUUUAUGACUGUUUUCAUAGUUGAAGGUAGCGCUUACACUUGUGCAUAAGAAAGUUUAUCCAGGGAGGAAUACAACACAUAUCUCCGAGUGUGUAAAACAAAUGAAUGCACAUGUGAUUGAGAUUUAUCGGAUUUUCAGACAGUGGAAAUGUGAUUUUUAUCCUCUCAUUGCUGCCACAAAGAAGCUAUUGUCCGUGUAAAAUCAAGAACUCUUUCACUGACACUGCAUUUUAUUGUGACACAUUGGCAGCUUGGGCUAAUUUCAGUUAAUAAUCCUGUCAAGCAGUUUACUCUUAUUAUGAUUUAUGACUCCAUGACUUGUUGUUUUUGUUAGGCCCUGUUAGCAGAAAUUAAAAGGUGUAUCCGAACUGCUGUCUGUUGUGUCAUUCCAAAUGUAAGAUAAAUGACUGGAUGUUUCAGUGAUAUUUGUUACGGUUAGUCAUUCUGGCUUCAUUACUAGUUAGGCCAGUAUGUGCUAAUCUAGCACUUGAGGAAUAAAUGGGGUUGUAUCUUUUUUUUUUUUUUCUUUUUUUUUCGAAAGGGAAGCAAGAUAAAGGUGAGCUUUACAGUAAAAAUGUAAUUCUGUUUAAUUUAAAUGAAGACAAACUGCCCCCCCCCUUUACAGAAUAAACCCUCUAAUACAAAUUUCAAAGUAUAUUUUCAGUUGAUAUAACAAUGUCUAUGUAAAUGCAUCACUUACCAUAAUCACAGGGAACUAACAUUAAAAAGAUUACAUCAU